UCCACCACUUCAAUGUUCGCUGAAAAAUAACGGACAGAAGAAGAAGUCCCAGCCGUUUCAAAUUUUUUUUCUUUUUUUUUGCAAUUAAUCGUAUUGAAGCUAAGAAUUCGCCUGUAACUAAUGGAGUUGAAGCCGUUACUUCUGCUUUGCAAUCACUUGCUUGGCAUAGGGUACCGCUCAUUUGGGUUAUCUUAAAUUAGGGUUCUUAUUCUUUCGAUUGGACUUCUCUUAAAGAUUUUGUUUUUGAUACACAGGUUUGGUUUGAUUCGCACCACACACAAAAAGGAAUUUUGAAUGCCCGUUUGAAAGCCUUGGGGACGAAAGAAGGUUAAAAAAAAUUAAAAAAAACGACACCGUAUAUGCAUGGCUCCACCAAGAUGAUGUUGUUGUCACAAAAAUGAUCAAGCUUCAUUUAUCGGUAAACCCGUAGUCUCUAAAGAAUGACACUCUUCAAUAACAGGUAGCUUUAAUACUGAAAAUUCAUUUGAUGACUAUAAAUUUGAAUUCUGCCAAAUAUUGAUGCUUAGGCAAUGCCUAAGCGAUUAACAUAUGAAUGGAUGCUUGAAGUUAUGUUAAAAUAUUAUGAAAGAUCAUUAAUGGAAGAGCCUAAUUGGUCAUCCUAGUUAGCUAUCAACUCAUUGGAAGUGUAUGUAUCUUUUUACUUAAAUUCACAGAAGAAACCUAUGUUGAAAAUCUAGAGGAAGCUGAUCCCUAGCUUUAUAAAUUAUACUCAGAUAUUAAGGGUUUUGCUAAAUGAGAAAAAGAGGAUAUCAGAUGCUAUUGCUGGUGCAGUGUUUGAUCAUGGAAGACGUAUGGUUAAAAUAAAUUUGUGUCUUUAUUGCAUCUCUUGCAAACAUGCAACCUAUUCAUUUCCAUGGUCUUCAAUUUACCUCUAUCAACGGAUCGAUAUACCUUUGCAGUUUAUUUGUACAUUUUGUUGGUUGGUAUGUCACAAUAAACUUUCUCAAUAGAUGAUAUUGAGCUGGACUGAUGUAAUUUUAACUUUGUUGGAUUACAAUUUUUUUUUUCUGUUUUUUUCGAAGCAGUUGAUAUUUAUAGCACCCAACAGAAUCUUGAAGGAACUCAGAAGACCUAUACUUGAUCCACCAACUUCAAGCAAUGCAGGUAUGCAGAUCUUAUACUCCAUAUUUGGUUAUAUGCCUAUAAUUUGAUAUGCCUUUUUUUUUAAUGUUAAUAUAAAUGUUGCCAAAGUUGUUAUGACAGUUCCAGAAAAAAGAGUAGCGACAAUAGUGAGUUUCAAGAUUGAAUUAUCUUUAUAAAGUGUAUCGAGCUCACAAAGAGUAAUGAGUUGGUUUAUUUUUUUCCAUUGUUUACAUGUUGGCAGAACGGUGUGGUGGAAUUGAUAUAGGUUUCUGUAACUCUGCCUAUAACAUUUUCACACACUAGAGUGGCAGAAAUGAUAAUGGUACCAGCCCUCUUUGUAAAUUUGAAAGUGAAACAGAUUCUUUGCAUGAAGAAUUGAGGAUUUGUAACACAUAGGGCAAGUUUACUAUAUUGUUGUUGUAGUGAUAAUGAAGGAUGAAGCUUUCCUGUUUUCAAUUAUAUGCUAUAUUGUAAUUCUCACUUCAAUCUAUACAAG